GACGGAGGGGGCUAGCGUUGUUCGGAAUGACUGGGCGUAAAGGGCGCGUAGGCGGUUUUUUUAAGUGAGGCGUGAAAGCCCUGGGCUUAACCCAGGAGGUGCGUUUCAUACUGGAAAGCUUGAGUACGAGAGAGGAAAGUGGAAUUCCUAGUGUAGAGGUGAAAUUCGUAGAUAUUAGGAAGAACACCAGUGGCGAAGGCGCUUUCUGGCUCGUAACUGACGCUGAGGCGCGAAAGCGUGGGGAGCAAACAGG
rnacentral:rRNA from 1 species